UUGUGCAACAAAUUUGAGAAGUAUGAGUAGGGUCUGUAGAAUAUUUUCUUUAUAUUCAUUUACUUAAACUACAACCAUGUCAAAAUGUGCUCCACUUUAUACUAUUUAUCUCAUAUAUAGUAAAUGUCUUUAGUUGAGAUUUUUCCACGAUGUAGUUGUAAUUUAACAUUAUGUAAAGAGGCAAAAAUGAUUGAUUUCGCUUCAUAUAUAUUUCCACUUUUAUUUUGAAGACAAAAUCGAAGUCUUAAUGUUGCUGCGGUGGCGCUAAUUGAGCUUCGGCUCCAUCAGAGGCACAAUCACCCACAAAUAAUCAUGGGACCAAUAUAAUCUCCCCCUUCUUCAGGCACUUCCAGUGAACGUGGCUUGACCAUUCUGUACUGUACGUAGACCAUAUGUUCAAUCACAUGCAUGUACUCAUUCGCUGUAGGCCUACUGUACGUUGUGUAGCAAGCACAAUUGGUUGCAUACUUCACAUUAGAGUGCACCCCCUGCCAUCCGUGCCAACUUCCUUAUUGGAAUCUACAUGAUUUAUAUGUUUUAACAUUUCACCAUGUUGUAUCAGACAAAAGUCUCUGAAUAAAGUGAAUCCGGCCAUAGUAACAUUGUAAGGAAAGCUGCAUUUUGCAUUUCCACUCAUUUCACAGUAUUGUAUGUAUGCAAACUUUGGUCCUGGCCACUCAACUUCUCAUGCUACCAUAGUUACGUUUUUUUUUUUGAAAAAAGUUAAAUAGGUUUACUAGCAAAGCAACUGAAUUUAACAAUACAACUCCCUAGAUGCAUUUCAAUUGAGUUUGUGAAACCUUCAUUGGCACAAGAAAUUCAAUUUCAUAAUGUUCUAGUCAAGACAACACUGAGACAUCACACAUUUCUGAAAUAAUCAGUCACUCAAAAUUACAUACUUUGUAGUGUUUUCCACAAACACUUGUCAUUGGACAAAGGGAUAGGAAAUGCUCCUAUACAUUUGUACUGUAGUUUCACAAGGAAUCCAGUGCCAUCUUUGUAGUCAAUUUACUAUGAAAACAUGAGACCGCCCAGGGCACUCCUAUUGCAAAGCCUGGAGAAAAACACAAUCUCAUCGUUAGUGUGAAGAGGGAUGUCAGCACUAAAUUAAAAAAGAUACACAAUAUGCAGCCAAAAACAUUAGAGACUGCAACAUCAAUCAAGUUGAAUAAUAUUCCCUCCCAGACUUGGAUGGAAGACUGGGUUAGAUUUAGUGAUUUUAUCUGAUGAUUGACCCAGAUCAAAUAAACUCAAGGAUUACAUCAGUGGAGACUGGUGGGAGGAGCUAUAGGAGGACAGGGUCAUUGUAUUGGCUGGAAUGGAACAGUAUCAAACAUACGGAAACCACGAUAAACCACAUUCCAUUCCAGUAGCAAUGAGCCCGUCCUAUAGCUCCUCUCACCACCAGAUCACAUACACACAAAUAUACAUAGACAAUACCAUUCAAAAGUUUGGGCACGCCUACUCAUUCAAGGGUUUCUUUAUUUGUACUAUUUUCUACAUUGUAGAAUAAUGAAGACAUCAAAACUGAUAUAACACUCAUGGAAUCAUGUAGUAACCAAAAAAAGUAUUAAAACAAAUAUAUUUAUUUUAUGUUCUUCACAGUAGCCAGUCAUUGCCUUGACAGCUUUGCACACUUGGCAUUAUCUCAACCAGCUUCAUGGGGUAGUCACCUGGAGUGCAUUUCAAAUAACAGGUGGGCCUGAUUAAAAGUUCAUUUGUGGAUUUUUUUUCCUUCCUAACUCACUUGAGCCAAUAAGUUGUUGUGACAAUGUAAGGGUGGAAUACAGAAGAUAUCCCUAUUUGGUAAAAGACCAAGUCCAUAUUAUGGCAAGAACAGCUCAAAUAAGCAAAGAGAAACGACAGUCCAUCAUUACCUUAAGCCAUGAGUGGUGCAGCGGUCUAACAAAUCCUUCUGACUUCCGGCGCCGACAGAGAUGGCCGCCUUGCUUCGCGUUCCUAGGAAACUAUGCAGUAUUUUGUUAUACUACUGCAUGGUCGGAACUAGAAGCACAAGCAUUUCGCUACACUCGCAUUAACAUCUGCUAACCAUGUGUAUGUGACAAAUAAAAUUUGAUUUUGUUCAAAUCCAUGCUGUAUUACAACCGGACAUGAUUGGGAGUCCCAUAGGGCGGCGAGCAAUUGGCCGAGAUUCGCCCGGGUUAUGGUUUGGCCGGGGUAGGCCGUCAGUGUAGAAAAUAAUUUGUUCUUAACGGACUUGCCUAGUUAAAUAAAAAAUAGUCAGUCAAUCCAGAAAAUUAAGAAUUUUGAAAGUUUCUUCAAGUGCAGUCACAAAACCAUCAAGCACUAUGAUGAAACUGGCUCACAUGAGGACCGCCACAGGAAAGGAAGGCCGAGUUACCUCUGCUGCAGAGGAUAAAUUCAUUAGAGUUAACUGCACCUCAGAUUGCAGCCCACCUCAGAUUGAGUUUAGUGGGACUAACACUUUCUUGGUUACAACAUGAUUCCAUGUGUUAUUUCAUAGUUUUGAUGUCUUCACUAUUAUUCUACAAAUGUAGAGAAUAUUUUUUUUUAAUAAAAAAAUGUAAUGAGUGGGUGUCCAAACUUUUGACUGGUACUGCAUAUACAUACAAAUACGCACACGUACCAUACAUACAGUGAGUGUAUUGUUGCUCAGCACAGAAGAGCCCAUUCUGUUGGAUCUGUGCCAAAAUUGAAAUGGUUAAAACACAGUAUAAUCAAAGCCAGUCAAAAUAUGACCAAUUAUAGGCUAGAGCACAUGUCCUCAUAAUAAUGUUAUAUUAAUCACUAUGGUUCAUGAUGUGGACAGCAGAUACAGAUUUUAAUCACAGGACGAGAAAAUGGGUGCAGUACACUUCAGUCAUUCCUCAAUACAUUGUAAGUGUUCAGGCUCAAGUUGACAGUGUAGUCAGUUUGGCAUCUUACCACGUGUCCUGUAUCAUUUUGUCAUCCAUCCUGUGAGUGUAUCAAACGACACUAUAGAAAAGGUAAACAAGUUGAUGCAUUAUAAAAUAACAUGCAACAUUCUUGGAUCAAGCAUAGGCCACGAGCGCAGCGCACAGCGACUAAGUUACACUCCUGACCUGUGAUACAUAAUGAAGCUAACUACGCGUCCACAUAGUUGUAAAAAAAACCAUGUAAUCAGAGAUUCAUGAUGUGAACAGCAAAGAUUUUAAAUCAGACGAUGGAUAGGAAAUAUGAUAUUGAUAGCCAAUUGGUCAGGACUUGCUAUACAUAGCUAACACUUCAUAGCUAGUAGUAGCUAGCUUGCUAUGUUACAACACGGAAGAAAACGUACUUAACUAUAAAGCGGAGAUAUGCCUCAAAUGCUAUGUUAUCUCGCAAAACAAGGGCGACAAUCUUCAGGUUAUGUUCAUAACUCGCCAGAUACUCGCUCGCUCUUCUCUUCAUGAAAGGGAAGCGGCAAAAACUCUCGUAUAAUGAUA
ensembl:lncRNA